rnacentral:rRNA from 1 species
UUUGGUUACAAUCCCCUUGAGUUGAUCAUGGCUCAAACGAACGCUGGCGGCGUGGAUAAGACAUGCAAGUCGAACGGGAUCUGUUUUGUACAAUACAGGGCGGGUCCAGUGGCGUAAGGGUGCGUAACACGUGGGCAAUCUGCCGAGAAGUGGGGGAUAGCUCGCCGAAAGGCGAAUUAAUACCGCAUACGGUUAAGGGGGACAUCCCCCUGACACCAAAGCCGGUCGUGGCAACACGGCUGGCGCUUUUUGAUGAGCCCGCGGCCUAUCAGCUUGUUGGCGGGGUAAAAGCCCACCAAGGCUAUGACGGGUAGCUGGUCUGAGAGGACGACCAGCCACACUGGAACUGAGACACGGUCCAGACACCUACGGGUGGCAGCAGUCGAGAAUUUUUCUCAAUGGGGGAAACCCUGAAGGAGCGACGCCGCGUGGAGGAUGAAGGUCUUCGGAUUGUAAACUCCUGUCAUUUGAGAACAAUGUGCAUGAAUUAACUGUUUAUGCAUUGAUAGUAUCAGAAGAGGAAGAGACGGCUAACUCUGUGCCAGCAGCCGCGGUAAUACAGAGGUCUCGAGCGUUGUUCGGAUUCAUUGGGCGUAAAGGGUGCGUAGGUGGUCUGGUAAGUCGGAUGUGAAAUCCCGGGGCUCAACCCCGGAACUGCAUUCGAUACUGCCGGGCUGGAGUACUGGAGAGGAGAUCGGAAUUUACGGUGUAGCAGUGAAAUGCGUAGAUAUCGUAAGGAAGACCAGUGGCGAAGGCGGAUCUCUGGACAGUUACUGACACUGAGGCACGAAGGCCAGG